rnacentral:rRNA from 1 species
UACGUAGGGACCGAGCGUUGUCCGGAAUCAUUGGGCGUAAAGCGCUCGCAGGCGGUCCCGUGCGUCGUGCGUGAAAGGCCCCGGCUCAACCGGGGGCGGUCGUGCGAUACGGCGGGACUGGAGGCCAGUAGGGGGACGCGGAAUUCCGGGUGUAGUGGUGGAAUGCGUAGAGAUCCGGAGGAACACCAGCGGCGAAGGCGGCGUCCUGGACUGGACCUGACGCUCAGGAGCGAAAGCGUGGGGAGCGAUCCGG